CCUACGGGUGGCAGCAGUGAGGAAUAUUGGUCAAUGGCCGAGAGGCUGAACCAGCCAAGUCGCGUGAGGGAAGACGGCCCUACGGGUUGUAAACUUCUUUUGUCGGGGAGCAAAGAGAGUCACGUGUGACUCUUUGCGAGUACCCGAAGAAAAAGCAUCGGCUAACUCCGUGCCAGCAGCCGCGGUAAUACGGAGGAUCCGAGCGUUAUCCGGAUUUAUUGGGUUUAAAGGGAGCGUAGAUGGGUUGUUAAGUCAGUUGUGAAAGUUUGCGGCUCAACCGUAAAAUUGCAAUUGAUACUGGCAGUCUUGAGUACAGUUGAGGUAGGCGGAAUUCGUGGUGUAGCGGUGAAAUGCUUAGAUAUCACGAAGAACUCCGAUUGCGAAGGCAGCUUACUAAACUGCCACUGACAUUGAUGCUCGAAAGUGUGGGUAUCGAACAGGAUUAGAUACCCUUGUAGUC
rnacentral:rRNA from 1 species